GAGAAAUUGGAGUGCCUAGGAUGCAGCACAAACCAAAAAGAGGAAUAGAUUGUCAGCAGCGAUGUUAGAUGAUUUAGUCUAUGUGAGAAUGAAUUCGUUGAUGAUGGAAAAAAGGGGUGAACUUGAACAGAAAAACAUGUUACCCAUUAAUCUUGACAAUAUUAGUGUCAAUGAUUUUGAUCAGCGCAUUGAGGACGUUGAUAAAGAGUUAGAGAGAUUGUUGGAUGAUGUGGAUGAUAGCAUUGCUGAAGACUUGCUAUUUGGUGCAAGUGCUAGUUUUACUGAGAGCGAGACUCAACCCCCAGAUAGUAUAUAAUGAUUUAGUUGAGUACUUAAGUUAUGGUGAUGUAAUAACUAUUGUUAUGCUUUUGUGGAUGUUUUGCUUUAUUUAGAAUAGUUUUUCCUUUUAAGCAUGAAUGAUGGAAUUAUGUGAGUCAUGGACUCAUGGAUUGAAUGAAGUGAUUUUGAACUUUUAUGUCCCUACAGGAUAAUUGGUAGAAGCAUUAAAACAUGCAUUAGAAAUUGAAUUACUGUAACCAUUGCUUUCAUCACUCAAUGACAACUUUUUUCUAGUUUUUUUACUGUAUUGUAUAUUUGAACUACAAUAAUUUUCUCUUUUUAGGUGUACAUAUCAAGUUAAUUACUUAAUAAAUAAAAUAGAUACAAUAAAUUAUAAAAAUAACAUCCGAAUUUUUUGCCCGACUUUUAUUUUGGUACUCGAAUAAUUCUCGAAUCCGAAUCUGAAUCCGAUUUUUAUUUUGUCCGCUUUUUUGACCGACUUUUUUGACCAAACCCUUAAAUUAACCAAACAAAUUAUUCCGAAUAAUUCUUCGGCCGAAUAAUUCCAGAAUACGAAUUUGCUAACUAUGCCUGUAGGUGCCCAUGUGUACAUCUAUGGUUCGGAUGAUUUGUUAUGCACCAUGUAGAAUUUUGUGCUAGGUAUCAUAACCCUAAGUGCUACACCCCUUGUCCGUAGGGGGUUAGGUACGGACUAAUCCCAAUAAAAGUGACUGCCUGAUGAACAGUACACUGUGAGUGGUAUAACAUACUGUACCAGUGGUGGAUGUGAUAGAUGUGGUGUGUGUGAGACAGGAUACAACGUACUGUAUGCCUAUGGUUAUUGAUAUGGGGUUACCUUUUAGGGGUUAGCCGGGGGACCGAGGCUUUAACUGGGACUGGCUAGCUCCUGCUUGCGACGUAGCUUGUAUUCCUAAGGCCCAACGUAUAGGGUAGGGAAUGCCACCUGUGUCGGUAGCACAUAUACCCAUAGGAGAUGAGACUUAGUAAUGGACUAGGAAAUCUGAAUAGUUAAAUAUAUGGAUUCAUGAGCAUCAUUCUAUUGUGUGGAGCGUGCAUUGUAUAUGGAUGUGUGUAUUUGUUUCUAUCCCACCCCUCACUGAGCAUCACCAUGUGCUCACUCCCCAUUUCUUUGUUCCAUAAAUGAGGAGAGCAGUCAGCAGCAGGUUGAUAAUUCAGAGCAUGAUGACGUGGUUAUGGAUUAGUUGGCUUGUAUUUUGGAUUUUGAUGAUUUCAGCCAUGGGCAUGACUGCGAAUGUGAUGAUUGUGCAUACGGUGAAUGCUAUUGUGAAUCAUUGUAUCUGUGGCAUCUAGUAUCACAUAGAAGCACUGGGUGGAUAAUAUCUUUAUUUGAUUUUAUAUGAUCCGUUGCUAACUCUGAUUAUGAUUUUAGCAUACAUGGUUGUGGUGUUGUGGACUGUCUUGGAGUAGGAUCCUAGUUUGGCGGGCUGACUGGGUGCGGUGAGGUAUCCAGUGCCGGCGCACCUAUGCCAUACCAAGGGCAAGGUAGGGUGUGACAUACACCCCCGAGCCUCACACUUAUGCAACAUGUAAAUGUCAUGAUGCUGACCAAAUAAUCUAAUAGGUCGGUAUUUGGUGGGUUCUACCAAAUGGGAAUUUAAUUUAAAUGAUUUUAUGUCUUUAGAAACUAAUUUGAAGAAUUAAUUUUAUUUGGGAUGGUUCAUCCAAACGGGCCCUAAGGACCCUCAGGGCUGAACCAUAUAAGCCCCAAAACCUCCUCUGUUUUCUCAUUGUUUUUGCUGUACAUACGGUGGAACAACAGAGGAAAGGAAGAAGGAAAAGAAGAGGAAGAAAGAAGAAGAAGAAAAGAGACGGAAGGGGGAUUGAGUUGGGGGCUGCCUGUAAUCAGGUUAUAGGAUCAUGCGUAUAAAAGAUGCUAAAUGGGAGGAUCCAAUGCAAUCUAGACACCGGUUUACCCAUGGAUUGAUUCACAUGUGAUCAAGGAUAAGAUGGAAAGAAGUUUCACUGAAGCAAUCAAGGAAAAAUGAGGAAUUUCACCUCAAUUUAGAAGUUUAGCCAAGAGAUUAAGCAACAAAGAAGAAUCAAACAUAAGAGGACUUGCACAAGUGUAGGGGAAUGAUGGUAAUUUUGAAAGAUGAGGAGUUUGCCAGAAUAUAUUGGAUAUGGGCUCGUUGCAUUUGUAAUUUAAUAUGAUGCAUCUUUAAUUCUCGAUACGAGUCAAUCCAGGGCCGGGAUGGAGAGAUAUAGCCCAAAAACCGUUUUGGGCUAAGUUAGAAUUUAAGUAAAAUUUUAGAAUUUUUAAAAAUUACUUAUAUAAUCUCUCUCCUCUCUCCUUUAAAUAUCUCUUUCCCAUUCCUAUUUCUACUUGGUCUCGUUCUUUUUUUCCCUCUUUCUUCUCUUAUAAGUAUCUUUUUCUUUCCUACAUGGUUUCUAACUCUGCUCUUCCUUAUCUUACAAGUAUCUCUCCCAUUCCUAAUCUACUUCUAACACACUCUCCUUAGCCUAUAUAUAGGGUCUUAAUUCACAACUUGAGAAGCACAAAAUUUUUAAAGAGCUUUUUGUUAUUAGCUUUUUAUUUUCUCUGGAGUUGUAAGCAAAUAUUGAAGAUUGAAGUUAAAGCUGAAGUUUGAAGUUCUUAA